CCUACGGGAGGCAGCAGUGAGGAAUAUUGGUCAAUGGGCGGAAGCCUGAACCAGCCAAGUCGCGUGAGGGAUUAAGGCCCUGCGGGUCGUAAACCUCUUUUGCCGGGGAGCAGGGGGCCGGACGCGUCCGGACCGGGAGAGGACCCGGAGAAAAAGCAGCGGCUAACUCCGGGCCAGCAGCCGCGGUAAUACGGCGGAUGCGAGCGUUAACCGGAUUGAUUGGGUUGAAAGGGUGCGUAGGCGGGCAUUUAAGCCGGCGGUCAAAUGUCGGGGCUCAACCCCGGCCUGCCGUCGGAACUGGGUGCCUUGCGUGGGCGAGCAGUCUGCGGAAUGCGUGGUGUAGCCGUGCAAUGCAUAGAUAUCACGCAGAACCCCGAUUGC
rnacentral:rRNA from 1 species